rnacentral:rRNA from 1 species
CUAGUAAUCACAGGUCAGCAUACUGUGGUGAAUGCGUUCCCGGGCCUUGUACACACCGCCCGUCACACCAUGAGAGUUGAGAAUACCCGAAGCCCAUGUCAAAGUGGUCGAAGGUAGGCUUGAUGAUUGGGGUGAAGUCGUAACAAGGUAGC